GUACCCAGGGUAAGCGCUAGCUCAUAUCAUCACCCUUACUGAGCCCCAGGAUCGAGGCCAUCAAGCUACAGAUGGUCUUACAAAUGGAACCCCAAAUGAGCUCAACUCACAACUUCUACUGAGGAACCCUGAACUGACCCACUGGGCCUUUGACUGGCCUAGAGAGUUCCCCACUGGAGGACACUACAACAGCAGGGCCCCUUCUUCACACCCAUCCAGCAGGAAGUAGCUAGAGUGGUCAUCGCCCAGUUCCCAACAGCAGUUGAAGUGCCCUGUUUAGAGGGGACAGUGAGAGGUCACAUUAUUCUGAAGAAGAUAUGAAUAAGCCUGGCAUUCAUCUGUUUCCUUCAUUUGAAUCAAGUCAGUCAGUUGCUCAUGGAACUCAACCUCGAGUCUCUCAGAUCCCCAGCCCAACCAUGGGCUGUGAGACCUGAGUGCCUCUUUCACAUCCAACAACAUAUAAAUGACAACGACAUAUGACCAGACCAUCCUGAGCCUGGUGUCUCUCCUCAUAGGCCUGCCUUUCAUGAGCAUGCCUGGGGAGAGAUGACUAAUGCUGUUUCUCCAGUUUUGUCCUCUUCUGGGUCAUGGGAAUGAUUUAUUCUUACUCAGCAAACCAGUAAUUGUGUGUUAUAUGUGAGUGGUAAGAUUCUUAAGGAGAUGUGGAAUCUGACUGCCUGAUGUGAUUCUCAAAUGGCCCCAACAUUUUACACAAUUGUUUGUAAUUAAAUAAAACCCAAAUUACAUUUGGGAUGAGAAAUGUAUUUUUUAACUUCUUUUGUGUUUGGAAGGACAAGCAAUUACCAUGGCUGUUUCUGAUUCAUUUACACUUAGCUCCUAAAAAU
rnacentral:lncRNA from 10 species